UUAAAUGGGGAGCUAUCUGUUCAGGAAUGCUGGCGGUGUGUGGGCUAGCAGCUGUUGUUUCUCUUUUUCAUGUUCUACUAUGCAAGACUCUACCCAAACAGACUCAGAAAACAAGAUCUGAGGGUCAUCUGUGACCAGGGGCUGUGUGAGCCCCAUCAUUCUAACUCACACAAGGGCAGCAAACCGAAAACAUCAUCCAAGCCUGCAAUCAAAGACUGCACAAAGUUCGCUGAUGAGAAGGAAAAGGCUUCCUCUUCACAGAUGUGGCAAACACAAGGCCCGCAGGCUGAAUCCGGCCCUCCACCUGGUUUUAUCCGGCACCUUGUUUCUACCCAGUGGCAGCACCGAGC